GUCGUCGCGAGGCGGGGUCUGAAGGAAGCGUGUAGCAAAGCCGCGACCUGACGAACAGAAAUCGGAUGUGAGGCCUACCCAGGCGGACGAGCGAGCAAUGGAUCGCGAAGUCCAUAAC
rfam:Candidatus Burkholderia crenata strain TZHbot9 BCREchr_ctg158, whole genome shotgun sequence.